rnacentral:rRNA from 1 species
UACGAAGGGAGCUAGCGUUGUUCGGAAUCACUGGGCGUAAAGCGCACGUAGGCGGAUUUGUAAGUCAGGGGUGAAAUCCCGGGGCUCAACCUCGGAACUGCCUUUGAUACUGCAAAUCUCGAGUCCGGAAGAGGUGAGUGGAAUUCCUAGUGUAGAGGUGAAAUUCGUAGAUAUUAGGAAGAACACCAGUGGCGAAGGCGGCUCAC